rnacentral:rRNA from 1 species
UGGGGAAUCUUGCACAAUGGGGGAAACCCUGAUGCAGCGACGCCGCGUGAGCGAUGAAGCCCUUCGGGGUGUAAAGCUCUUUCGACGGGAACGAUAAUGACGGUACCCGGAGAAGAAGCUGCGGCUAACUACGUGCCAGCAGCCGCGGUAAUACGUAGGCAGCAAGCGUUGUUCGGAGUUACUGGGCGUAAAGAGUGCGUAGGCGGUGCCCUAAGUCUGUUGUGAAAUCUCCCGGCUCAACUGGGAGGGUGCGCCGAAAACUGGGGUGCUGGAGCGCGGGAGAGGAAAGCGGAAUUCCUGGUGUAGCGGUGAAAUGCGUAGAUAUCAGGAGGAACACCGGCGGUGUAGACGGCUUUCUGGACCGUAGCUGACGCUGAGACACGAAAGCGUGGGUAGCAAAC